UGGGGAAUAUUGCGCAAUGGGGGAAACCCUGACGCAGCAACGCCGCGUGAGCGAAGAAGGCCUUCGGGUCGUAAAGCUCUGUCUUAAGGGAAGAAGAAGUGACAGUACCUUAAGAGGAAGCCCCGGCUAACUACGUGCCAGCAGCCGCGGUAACACGUAGGGGGCAAGCGUUGUCCGGAAUUACUGGGCGUAAAGGGUGCGUAGGCGGCCAAAUAAGUCAGAUGUGAAAGUCCAGGGCUUAACCGUGGAAUCGCAUUUGAAACUGUAUGGCUUGAGUGCAGGAGAGGAGAGCGGAAUUCCUAGUGUAGUGGUGAAAUGCGUAGAUAUUAGGAAGAACACCAGUGGCGAAGGCGGCUCUCUGGACUGUAACUGACGCUGAGGCACGAAAGCGUGGGGAGCGAACAGG
rnacentral:rRNA from 1 species